UUUUUUCGACCUGCUGGAUCUAACGAUGAGGAGUUCAACGAUGUGCAGAUUGAUGAGGAGGAUCCCAUCCAAGAAAGCGUGAGGUGGCUGGCUCUAGCUAGGGUUCACACUGAUAAAACCUUCUCCCCGUUGGCUUUCUACAAGGAUAUGAGGGCGGCCUGGAACCCGGCGCAACCAGUGCGUUUUCGUCCAGUCGGUCCCAACAGUUUCGUUGUACAGGCUUCGUGCCUUGGGGAUUGGGAACGGAUGAUGAAGCAAAGACCCUGGCUCUUCCGUAACAUGGUGGUCCUUAUAUGCGAGUAUGAUGGCUUUACCAAAGCGGACGAUGUAGUCUUUGAUCACAUGCCUAUUUGGCUCUAGAUACAUAAGCUACCGGAUCCCUACUGUAAGCAUGGGAUCGUCGAGAGGCUCCUAAAGGGGCCUGGGGAAAUCUUGGAGAUGAGAUUAAACGGCAACACACGCGGGGACUAUGUCAGGGUUAGGGUUAACCACGACAUUAAGCAGCCGCUGACGAAGUUGGUGAGCGUUGUUAGAGCUCAGGAGAGACAAGUUUACCUGGUUCGAUAUGAGAAGCUUGCUCGUUUCUGCAAAUUCUGCAGUCUAAUUGGACAUGAUCACAAGGAGUGUGGUUCUGGAGUUCACGAUGAGACGAAAAAGAAAUUUGGAGAUUGGUUGUAUGCUGAUGGGCCUAACUGUCCUUGCCCUGACCCAAACCCUACCAGGGCCAAUGAGCCACGACAAAUGAAGAACAACGGUAGCCCAAGUGCUCCGUUGGUACCUGGAGGCAAGGAAGUUGACCCCGAGACUCGGGAUACUGCCACGAGCCCUAUGAAGAACCUGGGGGUGAGUAUGGAGGUUGACAGAGAAGCUAGAAAGGGGCUGAAUAUGGACAGUGCUGGAGAUGAUGUUCUGAAUAAUGGCAGCAACUCGAAGGCGAUAUUGGCCAUCACUGAUGGCAAGGGUCGGGACUUAGGGGACAAUGCCUCCCCCUCCAGUAGCACUUCUAACAUUAAACGUGUUAAACUCAGUAUGGAUCAUGUCACAUAUGAGAUAUCGGUUUCUUCCCGAGAGGAAGACCAUCGGACACAAUGA
rnacentral:rRNA from 1 species